UCGAAGGUAGCAUAAUCAGUAGUUUUUUAAUUGAAAACUUGUAUGAAUGGUUCAAUGAGAUAUUUUCUGUCUCAUAAAAAUUUUAAUAGAAUUUAAUUUUUUAGUUAAAAAGCUAAAAUAAUAUUAAAAGACGAGAAGACCCUAUAGAGUUUUAUAUAUUUUGUUUUAUAAUUUAUUUAUAAUAUUUAAAAUUUUAAUUUAAGUUAUAUUUUGUUGGGGUGACAAUAAAAUUUUAAAAUCUUUUAUUAAAUUUAAACAAUGAUUUUUGAUUAAUUGAUCCAUUUUUAGUGAUUAAAAGAUUAAAUUACCUUAGGGAUAACAGCGUAAUUUUUUUGAAGAGUUCAUAUCGAUAAAAAUUUUUGC
rnacentral:rRNA from 1 species